GAGCACCAGCACCCAGGCUGGGGUGAGGGGCUUGGGAGGCUCCGGGGGAGCUCCCCCACAGCUGCCGGGGCCUGCGGGGAGCUGCGCAGAGGCCGGAGCCGGGCUCUCGCCAGGGGUGCCCAGGGCCAGGAGCAGAGGCCCCGGGCCCAGCCUGGAGCCCGGGAGGUGCCCUCUGGGCCCCAGGCAGCACUGCUGUGCCGGGUGGGUGCCGGAGCCCUGGCACAGGCUGCCUGGAGAGGGGCUGGGGGCUCCUCCGCGGGGUCUCCGGCAGCCGCCGGGACGUGGGGCUGGGCGAGCGGCUCCUUGGGGCCCUGCUGGGGCAGGGGGCGAGCAGCGGCACCCAGGGGUGCC